AACCGUACGCACACCGAACUAGCCGGAGAUAUUUUUUACCCGUGUAGCUGUCCAAAUCCAAACAAACGAACUCCUAAAAUGAAUGGAUUACGCGAAAAAAAAAAGUUGAGUUGAGUUGGGUAGAGCGCAUGAACAAUGGAUGAACUCGGCAAAGGCGAGAGGAGCAGCAGCAGCAGCUGCUGCUACCCAUCCAGAGCGAAGCG
rnacentral:lncRNA from 1 species